GUUAGUGUGAGGCCAGACUCCAGCCCCAUCAUCACCUGGACACAGAUAUCAGCCCCAAGGAGAUCAGCAGCUCAGAGGGAGACAGAGAGAGACCACGAGGAGGGAAUUCACCCCCGUCAGCAUCUGGCCACAGACAGCACCAAGGAUAAAUGUCAAAUGUGAGAAAGAAGGAAAGUCAUUGGACACGCAAGCCUGAUGGUAUUGUCUGGUAGAUCACGUCUGGAUUCCCUGAUCACCUUGUAAACGUUGUUCUACAAUAAACAUAAAUAAGGCUCAACACCUGUCACAAAACUCACCACCAGCUCGGCUGCACUUAGCAGCAAUGAAACGCCUUGUUGGAACAUUGCUGGGAAAGAGGAAACAAAACUCUGAAACACCGAGACAUGAAAAACCUGAUGAAUCAAUGAAAUGGUCACCAUCACCACAACCAAACACAUCCACAACUGGCGGGAAUGAAACAGCGAGUACAUCUGCAGUUACCCAAACACAUUGUGAUAUGGUUUCAAAUCCCAACCAGUGUUCCAGCAUUUUGGGUGCGUCGAGUGAGAUGGCUUCCAAUGAAACUGAACCGAUAGCCAAUGCACAGGGCGAUGCGAUGAUCUGCGGUGUGCAUCAGACACCCGGCAACACACCAGAAGGCAAUGUCUUCUCUUUACCUGACUUUGAGGAAAGUCUUAAAGAGACGAUAACGAA